UACGAAGGGGGCUAGCGUUGCUCGGAAUCACUGGGCGUAAAGGGUGCGUAGGCGGGUCUUAAGUCAGGGGUGAAAUCCUAGAGCUCAACUCCAGAACUGCCUUUGAUACUGAAGAUCUUGAGUUCGGGAGAGGUGAGUGGAACUGCGAGUGUAGAGGUGAAAUUCGUAGAUAUUCGCAAGAACACCAGUGGCGAAGGCGGCUCACUGGCCCGAUACUGACGCUGAGGCACGAAAGCGUGGGGAGCAAACAGG
rnacentral:rRNA from 1 species